CGCCUCAAGACAGCCUAAGAGAGCCAGGGGCUGAAAGGCAGCGGCAACAGGGAACCGGACAGGGAGAGCGGAGUCAGACCAGAAGACCAUGGAGGCGGGAGAAACGCGGGGAACGGCACAUCUGUCAGUGUGGGUAGAGGCAGGAAGAAGCUCGACUCCGUAGUAACCAGAGCCCGCUCUCCUCUGGGCCUGGUGGGAGAGCACAAACACACCUCCGGGCUUGCCCCUGUCUUCAGGUCUGCGGCAUGGGUGCCAGAAACGCUGCAGUGAGAAAGACGGAACCUGGCAGAUGCAUGGGCUGAGGCUUCUGUGCUGCCUAGGUGGGUGUCUGCUCUGCUCCAGCACCACACAUCGGGCCGUUGGGGCACAGUGGCUUGAAAGUGGGCAACUGGCAAAGAGCCAGUUUGUCCAGGCAUAGGACUGGCUAGGAUUUUCUUAGGGUGUGGACAGGCCUGAAGUGAAGACGAAAUGCCUCAGUUCCAAGAGAUAAAAGCUGCUGUGGAAAGUAAGGAUUGACACCUCUAUGUCUUUCAAGAACUUUUUCAAAUUUACAGGUAAGGGAAUUGGUUAAUCGGUUUUUUCAAGUCAUGAAAUGUGGGAAAUGAUACCUGAUUCUCACACUGUCGUGAUAUGCCGUAGUUAAUUACUUUGACUUUUUUCAGAAGUGUUACUAGAAAGAAGUUGGUCAUUGGGUUGACCUCGUGUAACUAAGUAGUCUUACCGUGCUUCCUGGCUGGAAGUUGUCUUCCGGCUCAGUUUUUAUCUCCCAGCAGCAAGAGAUUGAACCUUGCAACACAC